AAAUCGGUGGCAGAGUAUAAUGUGUUAAAUUGUAAAUUUAAUUAUGGGGGUUACCCUCGGUUUA
rnacentral:tRNA from 1 species